rnacentral:rRNA from 1 species
GACGAACGCUGGCGGCGUGCUUAACACAUGCAAGUCGAACGGAAAGGCCCUGCUUGCAGGGUACUCGAGUGGCGAACGGGUGAGUAACACGUGGGUGAUCUGCCCUGCACUUCGGGAUAAGCUUGGGAAACUGGGUCUAAUACCGGAUAGGAGCCAUCUUUAGUGUGGUGGUUGGAAAGUUUUUUCGGUGUAGGAUGAGCUCGCGGCCUAUCAGCUUGUUGGUGGGGUAAUGGCCUACCAAGGCGGCGACGGGUAGCCGGCCUGAGAGGGUGUACGGCCACAUUGGGACUGAGAUACGGCCCAGACUCCUAUGGGAGGCAGCAGUGGGGAAUAUUGCACAAUGGGCGCAAGCCUGAUGCAGCGACGCCGCGUGGGGGAUGAAGGCCUUCGGGUUGUAAACUCCUUUCGCUAGGGACGAAGCUUUUUUGUGACGGUACCUAGAUAAGAAGCACCGGCUAACUACGUG